rnacentral:misc_RNA from 1 species
GAAAUGCGAUAAGUAGUGUGAAUUGCAGAAUUCAGUGAAUCAUCGAAUCUUUGAACGCACAUUGCGCCCCUUGGUAUUCCAUGGGGCAUGCCUGUUCGAGCGUCAUUUGUACCCUCAAGCUCUGCUUGGUGUUGGGUGUUUGUCCCCGUCUCCGCGCGUGGACUCGCCCCAAAGUGAUUGGCAGCCGGCGUACUGGUCCCGGAGCGCAGCACAUGUCGCGCAAACGAGUGCCUUGGUACGGCGGCGUCCAUAAGCCCCUCUCUCACGCUCUUGACCUCGGAUCAGGUAGGGAUACCCGUUGAACUUAAGC